rnacentral:rRNA from 1 species
AGAUACCCCACUAUGCUUAGUCGUAAACCUAGAUGGCACCACAACCCGCUAUCCGCCAGAAAACUACGGACGAAAAGUCUAAAACUCAAAGGACUUGACGGUGCCCCAUACCGACCUAGAGGAGCCUGUCCCAUAAUCGAUACCCCCCGAUACACCCAACCAGUCCUUGCACUGCACAGCCUAUAUACCGCCGUCGCCAGCCCACCCUACAAAGGUCACACAACAGUGAGCACAAUAAUACUACAUUAAAACGUCAGGUCAAGGUGUAGCUAACGAACUGGCAGAGAUGGGCUACAUUUUCUACCAAAGAAAACAACGAACCGCACCAUGAAACUGUGCCACAAGGAGGAUUUAGCAGUAAGCAGGGCAAGGCUGCCCCACUGAAACCCGCCCUGGGGCGCGUACAC